UGGCAUUCCAGUCGUAGAGGGACAACAAAAGAAAAUUGUGGGAAAUGUAAGCAUAAGAGAUAUCAGACACUUGCUGCUCAAACCAGAACUCUUCUCCAAUUUCAGGUAGGAUGCAAUGUUCAAACCUGUAUGCAAACAUCCAAACUGAAUUAUGAUCAGUCUCUGUCUAUGAGCAAUUACAAACUGCUUUGUCCAAAUAAGAACAAGAAUGAAUUACUGAAGUGAAGUAAAAAUGAGAACAAUGAGGUUAAACUAUUAAUGAGACUAGAAUCUAAUGAAUUGUUACAUACAGCAAAUUAUUGAGACGCAUGAAUCAAUGCAUUUUAAUUGAUCAUUACCUAAGCCAUUUUUGUAGAGCAUAUGCCAUUGAAGACCUGAUGGUGCAAUCAAGUUCCUAUCAUAAUUUUUGUUUCACUUUCAGGCAGCUUACAGUCAGAGAUUUCAUGAAUGCUGUGGUACCAACCACCCCAGAUUCUGGGAAAG
rnacentral:lncRNA from 1 species